CCAAAGGCUCUUUUCAGAGCCGCCCACUUUUAUUUAAAGAGCUUCU
rfam:Lepisosteus oculatus linkage group LG26, whole genome shotgun sequence.